GCCGCUUUAGCUCAGUCGGUAGAGCGCAAGACUUUUAAUCUUGCAGCCGCGGGUUCGAGCCCCGCAAGCGGUU
rfam:Gregarina niphandrodes unplaced genomic scaffold scaffold00175, whole genome shotgun sequence.